UUGUUGCAGUUAAAAAGCUCGUAGUUGGAUUUCUGGUAUAACGCACCUGGCCCGCAGCCAUUAGGCUUGUGUGCGCCGGAGUGAGUUUGCCAUCCUUCUAGAAAACGGGUCUGCCAUUAACUUGGUGGGUUCGCGAUCUAGAUCAUUUACUUUGAAAAAAUUAGAGUGUUUAAAGCAAGCAAUUGCUAUGAAUACAUUAGCAUGGAAUAAUAAUCUAGGACUUCGGUUCUAUUUUGUUGGUUUCUAAAACUGAAGUAAUGAUUGAUAGGGACAGUUGGGGGUGCUAGUAUUGGCCGGCCAGAGGUGAAAUUCUUGGAUUCGGUCAAGACUAACUUAUGCGAAAGCAUUCACCAAGGAUGUCUUCUUUAAUCAAGAACGAAAGUUGGGGGAUCGAAGACGAUCAGAUACCGUCGUAGUCUCAACCAUAAACUAUGCCAACUAGGGAUGGGUGAACGUUGCUUUUUCGACUUCAUCCGCACCUUAUGAGAAAUCAAAGUCUUUGGGUUCCGGGGGGAGUAUGGUCGCAAGGCUGAAACUUAAAGGAAUUGACGGAAGGGCACCACCAGGAGUGGAGCCUGCGGCUUAAUUUGACUCAACACGGGAAAACUUACCAGGUCCGGACAUAGUGAG
rnacentral:rRNA from 1 species